UGAGUAACACGUAUCCAACCUGCCGUCUACUCUUGGCCAGCCAUCUGAAAGGAAGAUUAAUCCAGGAUGGCAUCAUGAGUUCACAUGUCCGCAUGAUUAAAGGUAUUUUCCGGUAGACGAUGGGGAUGCGUUCCAUUAGAUAGUAGGCGGGGUAACGGCCCACCUAGUCAACGAUGGAUAGGGGUUCUGAGAGGAAGGUCCCCCACAUUGGAACUGAGACACGGUCCAA
rnacentral:rRNA from 1 species